GGUGAGUAACACGUAAGCAACCUGCCUAUCAGAGGGGAACAACAGUUAGAAAUGACUGCUAAUACCGCAUAUGCCUUAGAAUCACAUGGUUCAAAAGGGAAAGGAGCAAUCCGCUGAUAGAUGGGCUUGCGUCUGAUUAGCUAGUUGGUGGGGUAACGGCCUACCAAGGCGACGAUCAGUAGCCGAACUGAGAGGUUGAACGGCCACAUUGGGACUGAGAUACGGCCCAGACUCCUACGGGAGGCAGCAGUCGGGAAUAUUGCGCAAUGGAGGAAACUCUGACGCAGUGACGCCGCGUGCAGGAAGAAGGUUUUCGGAUUGUAAACUGCUUUAGACAGGGAAGAACAAAGACAGUACCUGUAGAAUAAGCUCCGGCUAACUACGUGCCAGCAGCCGCGGUAAUACGUAGGGAGCGAGCGUUAUCCGGAUUUAUUGGGUGUAAAGGGUGCGUAGACGGGAAGUCAAGUUAGUUGUGAAAUCCCUCGGCUUAACUGAGGAACUGCAACUAAAACUGAUUUUCUUGAGUACUGGAGAGGAAAGUGGAAUUCCUAGUGUAGCGGUGAAAUGCGUAGAUAUUAGGAGGAACACCGGUGGCGAAGGCGACUUUCUGGAC
rnacentral:rRNA from 1 species